AGCCACCAGCGAGAUUCCAACUCGCGACCCCAGGUUUACGAGACCAGUGCUCUAACCUCUGAGCUUUGGUGGC
rnacentral:tRNA from 1 species